rnacentral:rRNA from 1 species
AGAGUUUGAUCCUGGCUCAGGAUGAACGCUGGCGGCGUGUCUGAGGCAUGCAAGUCGAAUGUGUACCUUCGGGUAUGCAUGGCAAACGGGAGCGUAACACAUUGGUAAUCUACCUUGAGGUCGAGAAUAACCCGGAGAAAUCCGGGAUAAUACUCGAUGGAAGUGGGGGGACACUAAGUCAUUCCUACUUAAAGUUCCGGCGCCUCAGGAGGAGCCUAUGGCCUAUCAGCUUGUUGGUAAGGUAAAAGCUUACCAAGGCUAUGACGGGUAGCGGGUGUGAGAGCAUGACCCGCCUCACUGGGACUGAGACACUGCCCAGACUCCUACGGGAGGCUGCAGUCAAGAAUCUUCCUCAAUGGCCGAAAGGCUGAAGGAGCGACGCCGCGUGCAUGAAGAAGCCUUUCGGGGUGUAAAAUGCUUUUAUAAGGGACGAAACAAUGACGGUACCUUAUGAAUAAGGGGCUGCUAACCUCGUGCCAGCAGCAGCGGUAAUACGAGGGCCCCGAGCGUUAUCCGGAUUUAUUGGGCGUAAAGGGUCCGCAGGUGGUUUGCCGCAUCUCCUGUUAAAUCUACCGGCUCAACCGGUAGGCCGCGGGAGAGAUGGGCAAACUAGAGGCCGGGAGAGGCAAGCGGAAUUGCUGGUGUAGGGGUUAAAUCCGUUAAUAUCAGCAGGAACACCAAAUGCGAAGGCAGCUUGCUAGAACGCGCCUGACACUCAUGGACGAAAGCGUGGGGAGCGAAUGGGAUUAGAUACCCCAGUAGUCCACGCCGUAAACGAUGGAUGCUAAGCAUUGGCAGUAUCGACCCUGUCAGUGUUGUUCACCUAAGCUAACGCCUUAAGCAUCCCGCCUGGGGAGUACGAGCGCAAGCUUAAAACUCAAAGGAAUAGACGGGGACCCGCACAAGCGGUGGAGCAUGUGGUUUAAUUCGAUAUUAAGCGAGGAACCUCACCCAGACUUGACAUCUAGCUGCAGACCCCUGGAAACAGGGGAGCCUUCGAGGGUGCUAGACAGGUGCUGCAUGGUUGUCGUCAGCUCGUGCCGUGAGAUGUACCGUUAAGUCGGAAAACGAGCGCAACCCCUACCCUAUGUUUCAUGUGUCAUAGGGAACUGCCCGCUUUAAGUGGGAGGAAGGUGGGGACGACGUCAAAUCAGCAUGGUCCUUACGUCUGGGGCGACACACGUGCUACAAUGGGAAGUACAAAGGGACGCCAAGCCGCAAGGUGGAGCAAAUCCCACAAAACUUCUCUCAGUUCGGAUUGAGGUCUGCAACUCGACCUCAUGAAGUCGGAAUCGCUAGUAAACGCGCAUCAGCCAUGACGCGUUGAAUACGUUCUCGGGUCUUGUACUCACCGCCCGUCACGUCAAGAGAGCCGGCAAUACCCGAAGGUCCAACCUAGUUGGGACGAAGGUAGGGCUGGUGAUAGGGACGAAGUCGUAACAAGGCAUCCGUAGCGGAAGCUGUGGCUGGAUCACCUCCUUCUAGGGGAACCUGCGGCUGGAUCACCUCCUU